CUGUGUUUUAAAGUGUGUAUAAACUGAGAAAUUUGCCAGUGCAUUCUGUGAAGUGCAUAAUCCUUUGUGUCUCUGUUGAUUUAGCAGAAGAAAAAUAAACG